AGGAGAAACACCAACAGUAGCAGGGCCAGCUCUCCAGCCCUGGAUUUAGCUCCUGCAGUAACUACGGAGCUCUCAGCCUGGAGGGCCUGGAUGCUCCUGGGGCGGG
rnacentral:pre_miRNA from 1 species